UUCAAGCAUUACUCAGUCAUAUAGGAACUACAGACUUUGGGUAGUUUCUGCUUGCUUCUGCAUCAGUGUCCCUGAUGGAUGAGGCCAUAGUUUUGAGGUGGCUGUGUUUUUCUGUCGGUUUUAGAAUGCCUGACAAAUCUGAGCCUGGAAAACCUUUACCGAAAGGAGGUGAUCCAGUCUUUCUACAUGGCAGAUGGCCAAGCUGCCGCCUGUUACCUCCUGUUAAUCGUGACUCCAAGAGUCUGGCAGAGAGCUGGUGCCAGCCCGUGAAGAAUGAUUCCACCAGUGCCGACUGAAUUUGUGAGCGUUUGUGAUGCAACAGAAGUGGAGACAAGACAGGAGUGUGUUUGCUCUUACUGGAAUAGGCUGAAUUUCACUUCCAGAAGAGGAAAAGCUAAAAGUAUAAGGAAAGGCAAGAGCCAAAGAAGUCUCAGAGAGAGGGUUUUGCUGGGGGUGUGGACGGAGGAGAGGUGAGAGGUGAGACCCUCAGGGCCCUGCAAGGCGGGCUGUGGUUCCAAGGCCAGGCGGAGACUGUGUACUAAUUCCUUUGCCAGACUCUAGUAAGGAGCUUUUAAAUGUUAGAUUUUAUUUAAUUUUUGAAUAGAUUAUACAUUCACAUGGUUCAAAUCUUUAAAUGUACCGAGAGGUUUAUCAGGAAAAAGUCUCGCUAACGCUCCAGGCCCCAGCCACCCACCUCUCAUCCAUGGAGGCCACCACAUUACCAGCUGCCUGUCUAUCUUCCGGAGGCGUUUUAUGCACAUACAAGCAGAUAGACAUUUGUAUUACGUAUUUGCCCCCCUCACUUUUUAUACAGGUGGCAUCAUCCUACACAGAUUCUUCUACACGCUGCUUUACUGGCUUGUCAAUAUCUGUGAUGUUGUUUCAUUUGAUUAGAUAAAUGAUUCCCCAUUCUUUUUUUGCAGCUGCAGAGUAUUCCAGCGUAGCAACGUACAAAUAUUUUUUAGCUAGUCCACCCUUUUGGCUGCUUCCAAUCGCUUUUAUAUACAUGACACCAUGAAUUACCCUAUCUUGACUUCUUUGGUACGGUGCACACCUUUGGCAGUCCGCUAAAACCUAUGAAUUUCUUCUCACCAUAAUGUUUUCAAGAGUAUAAAAUAAAAUCCUUAGGAUUAAAAG